rnacentral:lncRNA from 1 species
CGGGAUUUAAAUUGGCUCCCAUGUAGACUUUUUUCUCUGGACAUUUUUCAAAUAACAUCACAGCUUCGAGUUCUUCUAUCGUUGUUUUAAUAUUCUAAUUUUCUUCAUGUUCUUGAAUUGCAUCGGGCUUCGAAUCUAAGUCUGUUGUUUCAGUAGAAGUUUGAUUGUUGAUACCUUCAACUAUUUUCAAUAAUUGCUAUUUUUCUUUACUUGUGGUGCUCAUAUUUGUUAUUGCAUUGAUACUCUUGGUUAUUUGUUGAUCCCCUCGGAUUUGACAUAUUCCCCAAGGUUGAUGAAAAUUUAAUGACUUGAUGCAAGGUUGAUGGAACAACAUCUAUAUCAUGGAUCCAAGGUCUCCCCAUGAUUACAUUGUAUGCUAUUUCCAAAUCUGCUACCUGAAACUUAGUUUCUUUGACAACACUUGCAGCCUAAGUUGUCAGAGUUACCUCACCUUUUG